ACGUGAAGAUGAAGGCCAUGAACCGGUUCUUCGAAGAAGGCGACAAGGUCAAGGUGACCCUCAAGUUCCGCGGCCGCGAAAUGGCCCACCAGGAACUCGGCAUGAAGCUUCUGCUUCAGGUCAAGGAAGACACGCUUGAGAUCGCCAAGGUUGAGGCCGAGCCGAAGCUUGAAGGCCGUCAGAUGAUGAUGGUUCUGGCGCCGCGUUAAGCGCCAGACCUUCCGCCUGUUCAUGGGCGGCUUCGCCGGUUCGACGCCGGUUUCCGAUCAGGAUUUCCCCCA
rnacentral:misc_RNA from 1 species